ensembl:lncRNA novel transcript
ACAGAUAAUUAAGAAAGCAGCAGCUUUUUCUAGACGGCUCUUCCUCAUGAUUUGCAUUUUAGCCAGAGGCGACCAGUUAUAAAAAAAACAUGAUGGAAAGAUGGUAAGAAGCCAAUUAGAUGGAUGGAUGGCUGACUGACAGCUCUCUGGUAUUACGACUCCAGAUUUCAGACUACAUAGCCUGGCAGUUUUCUACAAGAACCAACUUUUUUGCAGAAGGUCAUACAUAUGCUAUUGGAGAGUUCACAGCUAGCCCCUCACUACUCAAAUUGUGGGUGUUAUUGCCAGACUGCGGAGAUGCACAAGAAUUGACUUGAGAAGCAAGGAGAUUAUUCAUGCUCCUGCACACUCUGUUAUCUCUGGGAGCUCUUAAUCAAUGCAGGCUCAAACCCUGGAGGGGUCAGAGGACUAACUGGGGCCAACAGCCAUUAGCGAGGUACCAAGAAGCACAAGCAAAGAAAGAAGAUACAAGUGAUUCAAAUCUCAACAUCCUUAAAGGAAUUCUGAUUUCAAGUUUGAAAUAAGAACCAUCCUUUGUGUGGAUUCAGAUGACAGAAGUCGAGAAUGAACAGAUGUCUUUCAACAAGGAACAUUAAGAAAAUGAAUAUUUGAUGUCAUGAAAUUUGAUUUCAUGGAGCAUCAGAAAAGCACAGGUCUGGGGGUACAUGUGUGGAUUUGUUAUAUAGAUAACUUGCAUGUCACAGGUGUUGGGAACACAGAUCAUCACCCAGAUGGCAUGGCAACUGGCCCAAUCUCUGCUGCUGACUGCUCCUGCAGUCUUGUUCUCAGUGACAAUAAACAAUGCCACCUUCUCUUGUGAUUGAUCCAUGAUGGACAUGAAGUAACACUGAGAAUAAACCUAUGUUGUUUUAAGACACUG